rnacentral:rRNA from 1 species
ACUCCUGCGGGAGGCAGCAGUGGGGAAUUUUGGACAAUGGGCGAAAGCCUGAUCCAGCAAUGCCGCGUGAGUGAAGAAGGCCUUCGGGUUGUAAAGCUCUUUUGUCAGGGAAGAAACGGUGAAAGCUAAUAUCUUUUGCUAAUGACGGUACCUGAAGAAUAAGCACCGGCUAACUACGUGCCAGCAGCCGCGGUAAUACGUAGGGUGCAAGCGUUAAUCGGAAUUACUGGGCGUAAAGCGUGCGCAGGCGGUUUUGUAAGUCUGAUGUGAAAUCCCCGGGCUCAACCUGGGAAUUGCAUUGGAGACUGCAAGGCUAGAAUCUGGCAGAGGGGGGUAGAAUUCCACGUGUAGCAGUGAAAUGCGUAGAUAUGUGGAGGAACACCGAUGGCGAAGGCAGCCCCCUGGGUCAAGAUUGACGCUCAUGCACGAAAGCGUGGGGAGCAAACAGGAUUAGAAACCCUGGUAGUCCCAUGA